rnacentral:rRNA from 1 species
CGGGAAGAAAGCUUGCUUUCUUUGCCGGCGACCGGCGCACGGGUGAGUAACACGUAUCCAACCUACCCUUUACUCGGGGAUAGCCUUUCGAAAGAAAGAUUAAUACCCGAUAGCAUAAUGAUUCCGCAUGGUUUCAUUAUUAAAGGAUUCCGGUAAAGGAUGGGGAUGCGUUCCAUUAGGUUGUUGGUGGGGUAACGGCCCACCAAGCCUUCGAUGGAUAGGGGUUCUGAGAGGAAGGUCCCCCACAUUGGAACUGAGACACGGUCCAAACUCCUACGGGAGGCAGCAUG